GACGAACGCUGGCGGCGUGCUUAACACAUGCAAGUCGAACGGAAAGGCCCUGCUUGCAGGGUACUCGAGUGGCGAACGGGUGAGUAACACGUGGGUGAUCUGCCCUGCACUUCGGGAUAAGCCUGGGAAACUGGGUCUAAUACCGGAUAGGAGCCAUUUUUAGUGUGAUGGUUGGAAAGUUUUUUCGGUGUAGGAUGAGCUCGCGGCCUAUCAGCUUGUUGGUGGGGUAAUGGCCUACCAAGGCGGCGACGGGUAGCCGGCCUGAGAGGGUGGACGGCCACAUUGGGACUGAGAUACGGCCCAGACUCCUACGGGAGGCAGCAGUGGGGAAUAUUGCACAAUGGGCGCAAGCCUGAUGCAGCGACGCAGCGUGGGGGAUGACGGCCUUCGGGUUGUAAACUCCUUUCGCUAGGGACGAAGCUUUUUGUGACGGUACCUAGAUAAGAAGCACCGGCUAACUACGUG
rnacentral:rRNA from 1 species